UACGUAGGGUGCGAGCGUUGUCCGGAAUUAUUGGGCGUAAAGAGCUUGUAGGCGGUCUGUCGCGUCUGCUGAUGAAAUCCGGGGCUCAACCCCGGACUUGCAGUGGGUACGGGCAGACUAGAGUGUGGUAGGGGAGACUGGGAAUUCCUGGUGAUAGCGGUGAAAUGCGUAGAUAUCGUAAGGAAGACCAGUGGCGAAGGCGAGUCUCUGG
rnacentral:rRNA from 1 species